GCCCAUGUGGCGAAAUUGGUAGACGCACCAGCUUCAGGUGCUGGCGCCUUCACGGGCGUGCUGGUUCGAGUCCAGUCGUGGGCACCA
rnacentral:tRNA from 3 species